UACAGAGGUCUCAAGCGUUGUUCGGAUUCAUUGGGCGUAAAGGGUGCGUAGGUGGCGCUGUAAGUCGGGUGUGAAAUUUCGGAGCUUAACUCCGAAACUGCAUUCGAUACUGCGGUGCUUGAGGACUGGAGAGGAGACUGGAAUUCAUGGUGUAGCAGUGAAAUGCGUAGAGAUCAUGAGGGAGACCAGUGGCGAAGGCGGGUCUCUGGACAGUUCCUGACACUGAGGCACGAAGGCCAGGGGAGCAAACAGG
rnacentral:rRNA from 1 species